AGCGAACGCUGGCGGCAGGCCUAACACAUGCAAGUCGAACGAAGUCUCCGGACUUAGUGGCGGACGGGUGAGUAACACGUGGGAACGUGCCUUUAGGUUCGGAAUAACUCAGGGAAACUUGUGCUAAUACCGAAUGUGCCCUUCGGGGGAAAGAUUUAUCGCCUUUAGAGCGGCCCGCGUCUGAUUAGCUAGUUGGUGAGGUAAAGGCCCACCACGGCUACGAUCAGUAGCUGGUCUGAGAGGAUGACCAGCCACAUUGGGACUGAGACACGGCCCAAACUCCUACGGGAGGCGGCAGUGGGGAAUCUUGCGCAAGGGGCGAAAGCCUGACGCAGCCAUGCCGCGUGGAUGAUGAAGGUCUUAGGAUUGUAAAAUCCUUUCACCGGUGAAGAUAAUGACUGUAGCCGGAGAAGAAGCCCCGGCUAACUUCGUGCCAGCCGCCGCGGUAACAC
rnacentral:rRNA from 1 species